UACGUAGGGUGCGAGCGUUGUCCGGAUUUACUGGGCGUAAAGCGCACGUAGGCGGUUUGUUAAGUCAGAGGUGAAAUCCCGGAGCUCAACUCCGGAACUGCCUUUGAUACUGGCAAGCUAGAGUCCGGAAGAGGUGAGUGGAACUCCUAGUGUAGAGGUGGAAUUCGUAGAUAUUAGGAAGAACACCAGUGGCGAAGGCGGCUCACUGGUCCGGUACUGACGCUGAGGUGCGAAAGCGUGGGAGCAAACAGG
rnacentral:rRNA from 1 species